rnacentral:rRNA from 1 species
CGCGGCCUAUCAGCUUGUUGGUGGGGUAAUGGCCUACCAAGGCGUCGACGGGUAGCCGGCCUGAGAGGGUGGUCGGCCACAUUGGGACUGAGACACGGCCCAGACUCCUAUGGGAGGCAGCAGUGGGGAAUAUUGCACAAUGGGCGGAAGCCUGAUGCAGCGACGCCGCGUGGGGGAUGACGGCCUUCGGAUUGUAAACUCCUUUCAGCCGGGACGAAGCCCUUUUGACGGGACCUGCGUAAGAAACACCGGCCAACUACGUGCCAUGCCCCGCGGCAAUACGUAAGGUGCGAGGGUUGUCCGGAAUUACUGGGCGGAAAGAGCUCGUAUGCGGUUUGUCCUGUCGUCUGUGAAAUCCUCCAGCUCAACUGGGGGCGUGCAGGCGAUACUGGCUGACUUGAGUACUACAUACUGAGACUGGAAUUCCUGGUCCUGGUGGAAAUGCGAAAAUAUCAGGAGGAACACCGAAGGCGAAGGGGGAUCUCUGGGUUCUAACUGACGCUGAAGAGCGAAGACAUGGGGAGCAAACAGGAUUAGAUACCCUGGUAGUCCAUGCCGCAUGCCGUGGGCGCUAGGUGUGGGGUCCUUCCACGGAUUCCGUGCCGUAGCUAACGCAUUAAGCGCCCCGCCUGGGGAGUACGG